AGUCCUGAUAUUUAUUAUGUAUUUUUAAAUUAGCUGCAGGAAAAUGUGGUCGUCUCUUUAAGACCGCUUACCAUCCAUGUGUGGUGUUCACGAGGCAUUCCAUUUAUUGUAAUUGUGUGGACAGUAUACAGUGCCCUCUAUAAUUAAUGGUAACACUCCUUAAGAUAUGUUAAAAGCCUUAAAACGAAUUCAAUUUUUAUUGCUGAGGCAUACUCUCAUACUGAAAAUUGUAGCCAUGGUUCACCACACAGAAUCACGCCCUUCCCAUGGCCAUGUCAGUCCCCAGACCUCAACCCUUUUUGAAAACCUUUAAGUGACAUUAAGAGGGAGGGUGCUGUUUUGUUGGUACAAAUUGUUUGCAUUAAGGUUGCUACACAUGUGACUCACAUGAAUUGAUGUAAAAGAAUGAUUUCGUAAUGGGGUUGUUUUAUUUUUCCAACUUUGGCACAGUAUUAGCCAGUUCCAUCGAACACCAUCCAUCAGACUGCCAGUUUUGUCGGGCAUGGGCUAGCUACGACCAGUUUUCCACUCUCUGGUCGAGAUUUGCAUCUAUGUUUGAGAUCCACCCACGGGGAAUGGAAAGCUCUAAUCCAAUCAGAAGGUCCCCAAAGUGCUGCCCCUGAGACAGAGACAGAGAGAGAAAGUGAGUGAAGAAAAGAGAGAGAGGAUCACAAUAGGAUCACCAUGCAUUGAGGAAAGCCAGGGUUGAAGAAGAGAGGGAAGGAGGGGGAAAUAAAAAAAAGGUGGGGAAUGAAAGCCGAGGGAUUAUGAUGGAGGAGGUGAGUGAAUGGGAAAGAGGGAAAAGGUGGAUGUGGUAAUGACAGUAGAGAGUGGUGGGAAGGAGGCAAAAGAGGGAGAUGAAAGAAAAGGCAGGAGGCGAAAAGAGGAAGACUGGGUAGUUAGCAAGAAAAGUAACUUCUCAAAUCUCAAAGAGGGAAACAACUAACGUGCACUUCCGUCGACAUUGUUUUAAUCUUUUGCAAGUGUUUUCACUGCGGAGCGGGAAAUGUCCCCAAAAGCCGCCGCCUUUUAAUCCGCCUCCAAUCACGUGAACCCAGUGGACUUUUGUUCUGAGGGCGCCCAGCAGCACUUUGGCCAUUCAUCAUCAUUACGAGGUGCAAAGGCUGGCUGGAGCAGCGAUUAAGAAGUGAAUCUUCUGUUGAUGAUGCCUGUCAUAGAUUGAGUCCUAUUCUACCUAGACGCACACCUCUCGCUCUGUCCUCAAGCCACAUUUCCAACAAGAUAUAUGUCUCUACCAUUGACCCCUUAACCCGAACGACCAUUUGUACCAUUCACACACACACAGACUACCACCGACUUUUCACACUCAUCUCUCUGUUGUCCCUGGACCGAUGUGUGUCAGGGUCACAUAGCUACCGUGUGAAAUACAGUGAAACUCCUCUACAACGAAAUCAUUUUGCAGCAAGAUAUUUUUCACAACAGGGGGGUUUUCACUGUUGCAAAUUUGAUCUCAGAUGUAAACACACGCACACACAAACGUAUGUGUACUCUUUAUUUUUAUUCCAAUUGUGCAUAAGUAUGAGCAUACACUUAUUUGACACUUCACAUAGUCAGUGUAGAAAGAAAUUGCGAAAUGUACAAUCAGCAUUCACUUUCACUGACAUCAAUUUCUUGAAUAAUUUCUUUUAUUUUUCUUACUCCGUCUUUCAUUUUGAUCACUUUUACCCUCUCUUUCAGCGUCAGAGCUCUUGUCUUAGCUGCUUGACAUCCAAAGGUCCGUUUUGUCGCCAUUUUAGCAAUGCAAUGUUCUUGCUGUGUCUGAAAGUCACAAUAACAAAUACUUCCUGGAUGACUGCGCAUGUGUAAACCAGUGGGGUGGUUGCUGUUGCCAUUUCCGAACGAAGCAGUAGAAGUCGCUUUUGGAUUAGACUUUGUUGUAGUGAAUCUUGUCGCGAGGCAAGAGCAUAGAAAAAGAUUUCGUAUAACGCAACAGAGUUUUUUUUCCAUUGUAAGGGGGGCAGGAAAGUGGGAAUGGUGUUAAGACUUAAUUUUUUUCACACUGAGGGGUAUUUUCACCCAUGUGGGUUUUGUUGUCAAGGAGUUUCACUGUACACUCAACAAAUAUUGAAAUAAGUAAAAAAAUAAAUAAAUCAUGCUUCGAAACAUCACAUUUCGACACUGCACUUAUAGCUGAUCCAA